AACGAACGCUGGCGGCAUGCCUAACACAUGCAAGUCGAACGAGACCUUCGGGUCUAGUGGCGCACGGGUGCGUAACGCGUGGGAACCUGCCCUUAGGUUCGGAAUCACUCCCCGUAAGGGGUGCUAAUACCGGAUAAUGUCUUCGGACCAAAGAUUUAUCGCCUUUGGAUGGGGCCGCGUUGGAUUAGCUAGUUGGUAGGGUAAAAGCCUACCAAGGCGACGAUCCAUAGCUGGUCGGAGAGGAUGAUCAGCCACACUGGGACUGAGACACGGCCCAGACUCCGACGGGAGGCAGCAGUGGGGAAUAUUGGACAAUGGGCGAAAGCCUGAUCCAGCAAUGCCGCGUGAGUGAUGAAGGCCUUAGGGUUGUAAAGCUCUUUUACACGGGAUGAUAAUGACAGUACCGGGAGAAUAAGCUCCGGCUAACUCCGUG
rnacentral:rRNA from 1 species